UGUAAUCCUGAGUUUCUAACAGCGUGAAGCAGCACUCUAGAAGGUACGCACCGUCUGAAUCAUAGUUGUAUAGCUAUGGUCUGGACGAUGUAACUGACGCCAUUUUAGCUCACACAGAGUUUUUAUCAUGUACUAAGUAAGCGGGAAUUUGGAUCCAACGUGGCAUUAAUUGUCCCCGACGCUUCGGAGCGACCGACCAGUGGCCGGUUGCUGUUCUGUGUAGGGUUAGUUCUGACAACAUGCAGUUGGACACACACCACUCAGGGGAUUUGAAACCAGUAAAUACAUUACUUUCACACUUAUAAUGCUUACUGCACAGUAUAUACGUGUGCGAGGGAUACAGCUUUAGUCUCGCAACUGUCGCAACUACUUGGCGUGCAUAUUUGACAGUAAUUGCACAGUGUUUACCUUUGCUUUACUGCACCGUGUCCUUUGUUCCAGACAUCUCACUGUGGAUUUGGAAUAUGAUCGGAAUUUUAGGGCAUUCCGUAAUUGGCUCUGUUACGCGUAAAGCCGGAUACAAUAUUUGUGUUGCUGGUUACCUGGAUACUGCACCCAUCUCCACACCGGGAAGAUAAGUGCCCGGCCGGUGUUGGCAGGGCUCGGCGUCCUGAUGCUGAGCACAGGGAGGAUGGAGUUUGAGACUGAGGAAGAGGAGCCGUGGUGUGACCAACCAGGAACAAGUACCUGUCCAAGCAGCUGGAGAUGCUGCGGGAGAUGAACGAGCAGCAUGCCAAGGUAUACGAGCAGUUGGAUGUGAGCACGUGUGGCCUGGAGCACACCAAUUUACAGGCUCGACCUGGAGAGCAAGGUGGCCCAGCAGAAAAGUGACUGGAUGACAGAGACCAUCGAGACCCUGCAGGGCCAGUUGGAGGCAUUGCAGGUGCAGGUGGAGGAGCUGCACAGCCUGGAGCAGAGUUUCAGGAGAGAGAAGAGGGAGAGGCGCAAGACCAUCCAGUCCUUUCCCUGCUUCAAGUUGCUGUGCUUAGAAUCCAGGUACAAACACCACCAUAUGCUCCAUCACAUACUCUGCACUGCCCUCCCACACACACACCACCACUGCCCUCACUCAGCAAACACUAACAAUACCCUCCCUUAGCACACACUACCACUGCCCUCCCUCAGCACACACCACCACUACCCUCCCUCAACACUUAUUAACACUGCCCUCCCUCAGCACACAACACCACCACUGCCCUCCCUCAACACACACUAACACUGCUCUCCCUCAGCACACACCACCACUACCCUCCCUCAACACACACUAACACUGCCAUCCCUCAGCACACACCACCACUACCUUCAUUCAGCAAACACUAACACUGCCCUCCCUCAGCACAAACUAACACUGCCAUCCCUCAGCACACACCUCCACUGCCCUCACUCAGCAAACAAUAACAAUUCCCUCCCUCAGCACACACUACCACUGCCGUCCCUCAGCACACAUCAGCACUGCCCUCCCUCAGCACACAUCAGCACUGCCCUCCCUCAGCACACACUAACACUGCCCUCCUUCAGCACUCACUAACACUGCCCUCCCUCAGCACACACCACCAUUACCCUCCCUCAACACACACUAACACUGCCCUCCCUCAGCACAAACCACCACUGCCCUCGCUCAGCAAACACUAUCAAUUCCCUUCCUCAGCACACACCGCCACUGCCCUCACUAAGCACACACUAACACUGCCCUCUAUGAGCACACAAUAACACUGGCCUCCCUCGGCACACACUAACACUGGCCUCCCUCAGCACACACCACCACUGCCUUCCCUCAGCACACACCCCACUACCCU